rnacentral:rRNA from 1 species
UGUAAGCGUAUACCAAAGUUGUUGCAGUUAAAACGCUCGUAGUCGGAAUUUGGCAGUUCCGGAUGUGUGCACGUCGUGUGCGCACUUCGCGGGGAUUGCUUUUGUGGUCUUGCGUAAGAUGAGGCACUUUUAUUAGUGAACGUCCUCACGCAACCACUUUUUACUGUGAGAAAAUCAGAGUGCUCAAAGCAGGCAUUUGCCGUGAAUGUAUUAGCAUGGAAUAAUAGAAUAGGACUUGGUUCUAUUUUGUUGGUUUGUUGGGACUGAGUAAUGAUUAAGAGGGACAGUUGGGGGCAUUUGUAUUUCGGUGCUAGAGGUGAAAUUCUUAGAUUACCGAAAGACAAACUGCUGCGAAAGCGUCUGCCAAGGAUGUUUUCAUUGA